GAUGAACGCUGGCGGCGUGCCUAAUACAUGCAAGUCGAGCGAACAGACGAGGAGCUUGCUCCUCUGACGUUAGCGGCGGACGGGUGAGUAACACGUGGAUAACCUACCUAUAAGACUGGGAUAACUUCGGGAAACCGGAGCUAAUACCGGAUAAUAUAUUGAACCGCGUGGUUCAAUAGUGAAAGACGGUUUUGCGGUCACUUAUAGAUGGAUCCGCGCCGCAUUAGCUAGUUGGUAAGGUAACGGCUUACCAAGGCAACGAUGCGUGGCCGACCUGAGAGGGUGAUCGGCGACCUUGGAACUGAGACACGGUCCAGACUCCUACGGGAGGCAGCAGUAGGGAAUCGUCCGCAAUGGGCGAAAGCCUGACGGAGCAACGCCGCGUGAGUGAUGAAGGUCUUCGGAUCGUAAAACUCUGUUAUUAGGGAAGAACAAAUGUGUAAGUAACUAUGCACGUCUUGACGGUACCUAAUCAGAAAGCCACGGCUAACUACGUG
rnacentral:rRNA from 1 species